UACGUAGGGUGCGAGCGUUAAUCGGAAUUACUGGGCGUAAAGCGUGCGCAGACGGUUGCGUAAGUCAGAUGUGAAAGCCCCGGGCUCAACCUGGGAAUUGCAUUUGAGACUGCGUAGCUAGGGUGCGGAAGAGGGAAGCGGAAUUUCCGGUGCAGCGGUGAAAUGCGUAGAUAUCGGAAGGAACACCAGUGGCGAAAGCGGCUUCCUGGUCCAGCACCGACGUUCAGGCACGAAAGCGUGGGGAGCAAACAGG
rnacentral:rRNA from 1 species